rnacentral:rRNA from 1 species
CAGCAGCCGCGGUAAUACGUAGGGUGCGAGCGUUAAUCGGAAUUACUGGGCGUAAAGCGUGCGCAGGCGGUUGUGUAAGACAGGUGUGUAAUCCCCGGGCUUAACCUGGGAACUGCGCUUGUGACUGCACAGCUAGAGUAUGGCAGAGGGGGGUGGAAUUCCACGUGUAGCAGUGAAAUGCGUAGAGAUGUGGAGGAACACCGAUGGCGAAGGCAGCCCCCUGGGCCAAUACUGACGCUCAUGCACGAAAGCGUGGGGAGCAAACAGGAUUAGAUACCCCCGUAGUCCCUGUCUCUUAUAC